UAAGCGUUGAGGAGCAGAGGCCCACCUAGAAGGAACGUUGGUUUCAGAAGAUCAGUCCUGACCUUGCCCAGUUCUCUGCCAUGGCCCAACCAUUUCUCUUCCUCCUCUUCCUCCUCACCUACUUCACUGAAAUAGGUCUAGAGGCUUUGAACGGGAGAAAGAGGAAAGAGAUUUGCAUGGCUUUGCAGCCUCUCUUUCUGGCAGCUCAACUUAAGCGUGAGGAGCAGAGGUCCACCUAGAAGGAACGUUGGUUUCAGAAGAUCCGUCCUUGCCCCAUUUCUCUGCCAUGGCCCAACCGUUUCUCUUCCUCCUCUUCCUCCUCACCUACUUCACUGGUGCCUUGGCCCAGUUCACCAUGACUCAGCCACCUUCUCUGUCGGUACCACCUCAAGAAACCGUCAAGAUCACCUGUACCAGGGAAGGUGGUGGCAUUUCUGGCAACUAUGUGAGCUGGUAUCAGCAGAAAUCUGGCACAAAACCCCUGCCGCUGAUCUAUCAGCAUACUAACAGACCUUCUGGAAUCCCUGAGCGAUUUUCUGGUUUUAUCGAUUCUUCCUCCAAUUCGGCCAUCUUGUCAAUCUCCAACGUUCAACCAGAAGAUGAGGCUGACUAUUACUGUUUGUCUUAUGAUAGCAAUUAUCAGUGCACAGUGAUUCCACCUUAUGGGGAGCUGUGACAAAAACUAGAAGAUGGCUCAGCCUUCCUUGAAGGCUUCGCUGAACACAGUUUGCAGAUGGGCUUAAAAAAGAAUUGCGCACAGCCAGGGAGAGUAUUUUCAAUAUUUCGAGCAGCCUCUUUUCAUGGGAUCCCUUCUAUGACCUUCCCAGCCAUCUUCUGAGAAGCAAAUUCAAGAAGAGAAGUCGGAUUGGUUUCAAAACGGUGUAAUUCCCUUUAAAAAAAGCAAUCCUCCGUUGAACAACCUUGGAAAAAGGUGGUUAAAAUUGGUGUGACUCAUGUGAAGACCGCUGUCAGCUUUGGAAGCCAUACUAGGCUGAAGGCUUCCAUGCGCUGCCACAAUUCUCCUCUGUGGGAAAAAAGGAGGGGAGGAGGGUGCAAGGAAUGAUGAGACAUAAUAACAUUUUCUGCCGGUCAAGGUCAGGCUGGAUUCGCAUCUGGAGAAGAAGUGGCCGGAGUGACGCUUCGACAUGGGACGGUUGAGGAUUAGAGCAUGUGACUGGCAGACGGUUCACGAGGGUGGAGAUUUUGGGGUUUGUAUUACUGAGGGAGGAACCCGGAAUCUCCAGUUCCGAUUUUCCUCCAACUGUGCC